CCUACGGGUGGCAGCAGUGGGGAAUAUUGGACAAUGGGCGAAAGCCUGAUCCAGCCAUGCCGCGUGUGUGAAGAAGGCCUUCGGGUUGUAAAGCACUUUCAGUGGGGAAGAAAGCCUUGGGGCUAAUACCCUCGAGAAAGGACAUCACCCACAGAAGAAGCACCGGCUAACUCCGUGCCAGCAGCCGCGGUAAUACGGAGGGUGCGAGCGUUAAUCGGAAUUACUGGGCGUAAAGCGCGCGUAGGCGGUCUGAUAAGCCGGUUGUGAAAGCCCCGGGCUCAACCUGGGAACGGCAUCCGGAACUGUCAGGCUAGAGUGCAGGAGAGGAAGGUAGAAUUCCCGGUGUAGCGGUGAAAUGCGUAGAGAUCGGGAGGAAUACCAGUGGCGAAGGCGGCCUUCUGGACUGACACUGACGCUGAGGUGCGAAAGCGUGGGUAGCAAACAGGAUUAGAUACCCCGGUAGUC
rnacentral:rRNA from 1 species